CGAUUGUAAUUGGUCAAUGGUGACGACAAUCCCAACUCACAUUCCCGCCUACCGAGGAGAUCAAGUUUGAAUGAACAACAGCAGUCUGUUCAAGGAGUAGUAGUUGCAAUUUCAGUAAAAAAAAUACUUUUACGUCUGUAUACUUUGUUUAUAAAAUCGGUGGACUGGUUUUCUCAAGAUGGAUAUGAAGAAAAGAAUUCAUCUAGAAUUGCGGAAUCGCACGCCAUCUGAUGUGAAAGAACUGGUGCUUGAUAACUGUCGCUCAAACGAAGGCAAAAUUGAGGGCCUCACAGAUGAAUUUGAAGAGUUGGAAUUUCUAAGCACAAUCAACGUUGGGCUGACGUCGGUCUCCAACUUGCCGAAGCUGAACAAGCUGAAAAAACUUGAACUCAGCGACAACAGGAUCUCAGGUGGGCUGGACGUACUGGCGGAGAAAUGUCCAAACCUCACACAUCUAAACCUCAGUGGCAACAAAAUGAAAGACCUCAGCACGAUAGAACCUUUGAAAAAAUUAGAGACCCUCAAAAGCUUAGACUUGUUCAACUGCGAGGUGACCAACCUCAACGACUACAGAGACAACGUGUUCAAGCUCCUCCCCAGUUGACGUACCUGGACGGCUAUGACAAAGACGACAAGGAGGCGCCCGAUUCGGACGCAGAGGCCUAUGUGGAGGGACUGGAUGAUGACGAUGACAGUGACGAGGUAGACGAGGAGGAGGAAGAGGAUGAGGACGAAGAUGCCCCACCAAGAAAAGAGGAGGAUGAUGACGAUGAGGAAGGUGAAGAAGAGGAAGAGGAGGACCUAAGUGGAGAGGAGGAAGAGGAGGAGUUGGACGGCAAGGAGAGUGAUGAGGAUAACGAAGAAGAGGAGCGAGGUCUGAAGAGGAAAAGGGAUCUAGACGAGGAAGCAGAGGAGGAGGAAGAUGACUGAGGAUGUGCUCAUCACCAAGCUAUGUUCUGAUCAGACUGUUUUAACCUUGUAUCCCCUGUAUUUGUCAGUUGUCAUAUAUUGCAGUAGGCAUGGGUAGUGUCAUGGGCCAGCUGGGUAAAGGGUUGGUGUAAGGAAACAAGUUGACAUUUUAUUAUUUUUUUCUUAUAUUUUUUGUUGUUGUACCUUUUUUGAUUCCUUGUAUUCGACUCAUAUCUGUCCCCUGCAAACCACUGGAAGGGCAGAAGAGAACAUUUCCUAAAAGUCCCGCUGUUAUUCGCUCCAAACCUUUGUAAAGGUUUUGUUUUCUCAGUGAUAUUGAUACCUUCCUGUGGAAACAGAUUUCUGAUGAUGAUUUAUGUAUUUAAAGAGACAAACUUACCAAAAAACCUUUUAGAAGUGCAUGUCUGAAAUAGAUUUUAAAGUCGACUACUGGAUUUGAAGUAUGACAGUUUCCUAUACCCGUUUCUUAUUCGCUGUCUUUUUCUUUCAGUGGACAUGAAGCGUUUUGUGGCGUCAUCCGUGUGUCGUUGUAUGUGCUGUUUUCAUCAUGGAACGGGUGUUUAAACGUUCAUAGAAUGGACUGUAUACAGGGCAUCUUUUUAAGCAGAGUAAAGAAUGUCUGCCUUUGUCACAAUGCUUCUCCUUAACCCCUAGCUUUGAUAGUUCGGAAAUGACCUGUUAUUUGUAAAUACUGACCAAAUCUAUUUUUUGUCUAUUACUCUUUGAUAAUGGCAGACAUUUACACUUAAUUAAUUGUAACGAUGAACUGUAGUAAGAUAUUGAAUAUCUGUGCAGCCGUACCCUAAAAUAGGCUAAUUGAAUCUGGUACACGAUUUCCAUUUUCACCAAAUUAUAUUCACAGAAAUACUCACUGAAUCCAAAUGUGUUAUUGCUGUCCAACUCUUGGAGUCCAUAUUCGUUCCCCACCUAUAUAAGACACCGCUGGGCAAUGUGCAAAGAAAACACCUUUUGCAUUUUCUUUUGUUAAACCAUAGGGCAGUUCCUGGUCAGAUAGACCUACCUCAGUCAUGUUCCCCUUACAUGUUUAACCCACUGUCAUCAAAGCUAAUUCCUUACCAUGAGACAAACUUUUCAUUUCCUCCCUCUCACUUCAAUAAAUAUUUUUUUUUUAUACAA